rnacentral:rRNA from 1 species
GAAAGAUUCAUCGGAAGAGGAUGGGCAUGCGGCGCAUUAGCUAGACGGCGGGGUAACGGCCCACCGUGGCGACGAUGCGUAGGGGUUCUGAGAGGAAGGUCCCCCACACUGGUACUGAGACACGGACCAGACUCCUACGGGAGGCAGCAGUGAGGAAUAUUGGUCAAUGGGAGAGAUCCUGAACCAGCCAAGCCGCGUGAGGGAAGACGGCCCUAUGGGUUGUAAACCUCUUUUGUCGGAGAACAAAACCCGGGACGUGUCCCGGACUGCGUGUAUCCGAAGAAAAAGCAUCGGCUAACUCCGUGCCAGCAGCCGCGGUAAUACGGAGGAUGCGAGCGUUAUCCGGAUUUAUUGGGUUUAAAGGGUGCGUAGGCGGUCCGUUAAGUCAGCGGUAAAAUUGCGGGGCUCAACCCCGUCGAGCCGUUGAAACUGGCAGACUUGAGUUGGCGAGAAGUACGCGGAAUGCGCGGUGUAGCGGUGAAAUGCAUAGAUAUCGCGCAGAACUCCGAUUGCGAAGGCAGUGUACCGGCGCCAGACUGACGCUGAGGCACGAAAGCGUGGGGAUCGAACAGGAUUAGAUACCCUGGUAGUCCACGCAGUAAACGAUGAAUGCUGGUUGUCCGGGUCGAAUGAGAUCUGG